CAGUGGGCGCGCGCCGCUGUUUUUCUCUCCCCCCCCCCGCCAACCUCGCAAUCCGGGCCCGGCCGCGGCUCCCGGAGCGGUUGCCAUGGAAACGGCGGCGCGCGAGGCGUCUCAUCACGGCCAGGUGGGCCGAAGCUGCUCAGCUUUUUGCCUUGUGACAUGCAGAGGUCUGUGCAAUGAGGAGAGGCCAGUCACAGAAAACAUCCCUUGGGAAUCCACAGUUGUCUCCGUCCCGUGCUCGGAGUACCAAGGUCUCCUGCAAGUGCCCGUAGGUCAUCGUCUCCACUGAACAGGAGAAGGGAUCCACCAGCCAACUGGGCGAAGAUAUCAAGGAGAGGUAGAUCAAGAAAGCGAUACAGUUAUUGCAAUAAUCCGUGAGGGAUAUAAUAAAAUGUUGCAGCUUUCCUUCAAGGACUUUGCUUAGAAGAUCUAAAUAAUAUUAUGAUUGAUAUUUAUAUGUAUUUGUAUGUAAGGGUGUAGGUAUAUGCAUAUGUACAUAGCAUGUUUAUAUGUGAGUUAUGCAUGUAUUACACUUUUGAGAGGCAGAAAACAAAUUAAUUUUUAACGUGCCAUUGUGCUCACAGUAAAAAAAUGACAAUAAAGAUUAUCUUAUCUGGA